UGAGAGAGAGGCUUCCAUCUCUCAGGUCUGCUGGGAGGAUCUUUAUGGUUGAUUUACUUUUUUUAAAUAAAUGUUUCUUUAUGUGUUUCCCUCAGUUCCUGCCCAGGCUGACUCUAUCAUACAAGCUGUAACUUCUGCCAGUCCUAUCAGCCAGCAAACAGUUUUGCUGGAGAGGGAGAAGGCAGCAACAGAGACAGCAUGGUGGAGUGAGGUGAGCAUCAUGAGAAAGCCAUCUGGACUCUCUCUUCUGACCUCUACCAUCCGUGCAUCCUUCCCUGAGCAAGACCUGACACAGGACGUCUUGGAAGUUCAAGCUCAUCAUCUGUAUAAGAGGGUGAUACCGUUUGGAUGUUUAUCUGCUCCAAAUCUCAUCUCUAAAUGUGAUCCCCAAUGUUGGAGGCAGGGACUGGCAGGAGGUGUUUGGAUCAUGGGGAUGGAUCCCUCAUGAAUGGCUUGGUUCCAUUCUUGCAGUAAUGAGUGAGGUCUUGCUCUAUCAGUUCACAAGAGAUCCGUUUGUGUAAAAGAGUGUGGUACCUCUCCCAUCCCUCCUGCACCCUCUCUCACCAUGUGACAUGCCAGCUCCCCUUCAUCUUCCACCAUGAUUGUAAGCUUCCUGAGGCCUCACCAGAAGUUAAGCAGAUGCUGGUGCUAUGCUUGUACAGCCUUCAGAACUGUGAGCGAAAUAAACCUC
rnacentral:lncRNA from 10 species